AAAAUAAUACUUGAAGGUAAUAAUUAACCACGUGGGUACCCAGUACACAAGGAUUCACUGACCCCCAAAUAUCCAAAGCAGAGACCACAGGCCAGGCACCUGCAGGGCUCACAAGGACAGAGAGGAGGGACUGGAAUUCCAGCAGUUUCCAACUCCCACCUGCCCUCAGCUCCUGUUUACACAAACAGCAACUGCUGCCCCAAAAAAAGCAACAUGGACCAUCAGCUCAUCUUUCUGGGAGAAAGGAACUUCUAAACCUGCUGCUCCAGGAACUUCUAAACCUGCUGUUCCUGUCCCCCUACAGAGAGAGCACAAAUCUUUGGCCAAAGGAGUGAUAAAGGAAAGGCUGACUUUGAACAUCUGGAAGCUACAAAGGUUUUUUUUCCUGAUUUGUCAAAUUGAGAGCCAUGCCAGCUUCCAAGUUUGGCCUCUGCACAUCUUCCCUGUGGGCUCAGUGAGGCACAGGAGGAAAUGAAUCCUUGUCACAAUAGCUUAAGAAAAAGGUACUGCUGUAAAAAUGCACAUUUCAAAAACCAGUCACACUGGAUACCCACCAGUUUUUGGGUACUGGAAGCAACAGACACAGCACACAGAUGUGUUUUUGUAACCUCUGAGCCCUUUCCCAGCUGGGGUAAUUCCCUCCCUGCCCUCCCCUCCUUCCACAACCAGCAGGUUCCUGGCAGUCCAGCACUCCCAUUCCACUGCUCCAUGCAAUGCUCCUGGAAGUGUCUCUAAAUAUCACAUUUUGUCUCCAAGCUUCACACAAGUACUAGUUUUUUCACUUAAACAUUUGAGGUAAUGGUAGCUUUCAAACUAUUCAUUUUUUUUUUGUUGUUAAUUCAUCCCUUUUAAAGAUUUAAACCCCACCUUAAUUCACUUUAUCAUAUAAGAAACACACCACAUUAUAACAGUUAAGAGAAAUAGAACAUUAAAAAAAAUAAAAUCUCAGAACUUUCAACGCUCAGGUUAUCAAAUAUACAAUGAAAAAACACAGAGUAAAAAAAAAA